GAUGAACGCUGGCGGCGUGCUUAACACAUGCAAGUCGAACGAAGCACUUUAUUUGAUUUCCUUCGGGACCGAUUAUUUUGUGACUGAGUGGCGGACGGGUGAGUAACGCGUGGGUAACCUGCCUUGUACAGGGGGAUAACAGUUGGAAACGGCUGCUAAUACCGCAUAAGCGCACAGCAUCGCAUGAUGCAGUGUGAAAAACUCCGGUGGUAUAAGAUGGACCCGCGUUGGAUUAGCUAGUUGGUGAGGUAACGGCCCACCAAGGCGACGAUCCAUAGCCGACCUGAGAGUGUGACCGGCCACAUUGGGACUGAGGCACGGCCCAAACUCCUACGGGAGGCAGCAGUGGGGAAUAUUGCACAAUGGGCGAAAGCCUGAUGCAGCGACGCCGCGUGAGCGAAGAAGUAUUUCGGUAUGUAAAGCUCUAUCAGCAGGGAAGAUAAUGACGGUACCUGACGAAGAAGCACCGGCUAAAUACGUG
rnacentral:rRNA from 1 species